rnacentral:rRNA from 1 species
AAUGAACGCUGGCGGCAUGCCUAACACAUGCAAGUCGAACGACACCAUGACCUCUCUUGCUGGGUGGAUGGCUAGUGGCGAACGGGUUGGCUAUGCAUCCGAACUUGCCUUUUGGAAUGUGAUAUCAUACCGGAAGUUAUCUUAAUACCGCAUAUUCUUUGCCGUGGAAAGCGGGGGACCUUGGGUCCUUGCUCUAUAAGGUCAGCCCAUGUCAGAUUGGCUAGUUGGUGGGGUUAUGGGACACCAAUGCACCGAUCGGUAGCGGAUCUGAGAGGAUGAUACGCCACACUGGGACUGAGACACGGCCCAGACUCCUACGGGAGGCAGCAGUGGGGAAUUUUGGACAAUGGGCGCAAGCCUGAUCCAGCCAUGACGCGUGAGUGAAGAAGGCCUUCGGGUUGUAAAGCUCUUUAGGCUGGGAAGAAAUCGAACCCUCUUAUACAGGGUGUGGAUGACGGUACCAGCAGAAAAAGCACCGGCUAACUACGUG